UAGGGAAUUUUCGUCAAUGGGCGCAAGCCUGAACGAGCAAUGCCGCGUGAACGAGGAAGGUCUUCGGAUCGUAAAGUUCUGUUGAAGGGGAAAAAGAGCGGAGAGAGGAAAUGGUCUCCGAUUGAUAUUACCCUUCGAGGAAGUCACGGCUAACUACGUGCCAGCAGCCGCCGUAAUAGAGCUCU
rnacentral:rRNA from 1 species